GCACCCAUAGCUCAAUUGGAUAGAGCAUCGGUCUUCGGAACCGAAGGUUGUAGGUUCGAAUCCUACUGGGUGUA
rnacentral:tRNA from 3 species